UUGUACAAACUCCAAGUGGUUACCAUAGCUGAAGUUAUAAUCCGAUUACACGCACUGAACACUUUCUUCCCUUCGAUAGCGCUUGCCCUACAAGAUGGCGCGCGCGCACAAUGCAUAAUGGAUUACAUGAACAAAAAUGGACUGAGCCACAAACAUUAUGAUUCUAUUUCUUCUGGUAGCCAUCACAUUUGCCAGUCACUAGUAUCACUGGGCAAUUCUUGGAUAAAGUCACGGAACAGUCCCGAUUACAGGAAAUCGCUCUCGCGGUGUUUAUCAGUGAAAUUAGAUGUUAAGAAUUAUAUCUUGAGACCAAAAGCUGGUCGAAAAUAGACAGAGCCAAAUGCAGCGAACAUAAAUAAGUCUACUUUGUAUUCUUUUUCUGUGUUUGUAUCUUUUCCUACCUCCUCUCUACAAUGUAUGUUUGUACGUUUAAGAUAUUAAAAUCAUUGUCAUUGU